rnacentral:rRNA from 1 species
UACAGAGGUCCCAAGCGUUGUUCGGAUUCACUGGGCGUAAAGGGUGCGUAGGUGGCCUGGAAGGUUUGAUGUGAAAGCUCGGAGCUUAACUCCGAAAUGGCAUUGAAUACUACUGGGCUUGAGGGUCGGAGGGGAGACUGGAAUUCUCGGUGUAGCAGUGAAAUGCGUAGAUAUCGUAAGGAAGACCAGUGGCGAAGGCGAGUCUCUGGACAGUUACCGACGCUGAGGCACGAAGGUCAGGGGAGCAAACGGG